GACGGAGGAGGCAAGCGUUAUCCGGAAUUAUUGGGCGUAAAGCGUACGCAGGUGGAUUGACAAGUCUUUUGUCAAAGACCAGGGCUCAACCUUGGGAAGGCAGGGGAAACUGUUAAUCUAGAGUGCGGUAGGGGCAGGAGGAAUUCCCGGUGUAGCGGUGAAAUGCGUAGAUAUCGGGAAGAACACCAGCGGCGAAAGCGUCCUGCUAGGCCGUAACUGACACUCAUGUACGAAAGCUAGGGGAGCGAAUGGG
rnacentral:rRNA from 1 species